GACGAACGCUGGCGGCGUGCUUAACACAUGCAAGUCGAACGGAAAGGCCCUGCUUUUGUGGGGUGCUCGAGUGGCGAACGGGUGAGUAACACGUGAGUAACCUGCCCUUGACUUUGGGAUAACUUCAGGAAACUGGGGCUAAUACCGGAUAGGAGCUCCUGCUGCAUGGUGGGGGUUGGAAAGUUUCGGCGGUUGGGGAUGGACUCGCGGCUUAUCAGCUUGUUGGUGGGGUAGUGGCUUACCAAGGCUUUGACGGGUAGCCGGCCUGAGAGGGCGACCAGCCACAUUGGGACUGAGAUACGGCCCAGACUCCUACGGGAGGCAGCAGUGGGGAAUAUUGCACAAUGUGCGGAAGCCUGAUGCAGCAACGCCGCGUGCGGGAUGACGGCCUUCGGGUUGUAAACCGCUUUCGCCUGUGACGAAGCGUGAGUGACGGUAAUGGGUAAAGAAGCACCAGCUAACUACGUG
rnacentral:rRNA from 1 species